UACUCUCAGCAACGGAUAUCUCGGCUCUCACAACGAUGAAGAACGCAGCGAAAUGCGAUACGUGAUGUGAAUUGCAGAAUUCCGCGAAUCAUCGAAUCUUUGAACGC
rnacentral:rRNA from 1 species